GGAGGAAUAUUGGUCAAUGGGCGAGAGCCUGAACCAGCCAUGCCGCGUGAAGGAUGAAGGCGUUCUGCGUUGUAAACUUCUUUUAUGGGGAAGAAACCUGGAUUUUCUAAUUCAGCCGACGGUACCCAGGAAUAAGCACCGGCUAACUCCGUGCCAGCAGCCGCGGUAAUACGGAGGGUGCAAGCGUUAUCCGGAUUUACUGGGUUUAAAGGGUGCGUAGGCGGACUUUAAGU
rnacentral:rRNA from 1 species